rnacentral:rRNA from 1 species
GAUGAACUCUAGCGACAGGCCUAACACAUGCAAGUCGAGGGGCAGCGGGGCGAAGCUUGCUUUGCCUGCCGGCGACCGGCGCACGGGUGAGUAACACGUAUGGAACCUGCCCGCCACAGGGGGAUAACCGGUAGAAAUGCCGACUAAUACCCCGUAUGCCCACGAGGGGCGCAAUGCCCCGUGGUGGGGAAACAUUUAGUGGGUGGCGGAUGGCCAUGCGGCGCAUUAGCUGGUUGGCGGGGUAACGGCCCCACCGAAGGGCGACGAGUGCCGUAGGGGUUCUGGAGAGGAA